rnacentral:rRNA from 1 species
UGAACGCUGGCGGCGUGCCUAAUACAUGCAAGUCGAACGAGUUCUGAUUAUUGAAAGGUGCUUGCAUCUUGAUUUAAUUUUGAACGAGUGGCGGACGGGUGAGUAACACGUGGGUAACCUGCCCUUAAGUGGGGGAUAACAUUUGGAAACAGAUGCUAAUACCGCAUAAAUCCAAGAACCGCAUGGUUCUUGGUUGAAAGAUGGCGUAAGCUAUCGCUUUUGGAUGGACCCGCGGCGUAUUAGCUAGUUGGUGAGGUAACGGCUCACCAAGGCAAUGAUACGUAGCCGAACUGAGAGGUUGAUCGGCCACAUUGGGACUGAGACACGGCCCAAACUCCUACGGGAGGCAGCAGUAGGGAAUCUUCCACAAUGGACGCAAGUCUGAUGGAGCAACGCCGCGUGAGUGAAGAAGGCUUUCGGGUCGUAAAACUCUGUUGUUGGAGAAGAAUGGUCGGCAGAGUAACUGUUGUCGGCGUGACGGUAUCCAACCAGAAAGCCACGGCUAACUACGUGCCAGCAGCCGCGGUAAUACGUAGGUGGCAAGCGUUAUCCGGAUUUAUUGGGCGUAAAGCGAGCGCAGGCGGUUUUUUAAGUCUGAUGUGAAAGCCCUCGGCUUAACCGAGGAAGUGCAUCGGAAACUGGGAAACUUGAGUGCAGAAGAGGACAGUGGAACUCCAUGUGUAGCGGUGAAAUGCGUAGAUAUAUGGAAGAACACCAGUGGCGAAGGCGGCUGUCUGGUCUGUAACUGACGCUGAGGCUCGAAAGCAUGGGUAGCGAACAGGAUUAGAUACCCUGGUAGUCCAUGCCGUAAACGAUGAAUGCUAGGUGUUGGAGGGUUUCCGCCCUUCAGUGCCGCAGCUAACGCAUUAAGCAUUCCGCCUGGGGAGUACGACCGCAAGGUUGAAACUCAAAGGAAUUGACGGGGGCCCGCACAAGCGGUGGAGCAUGUGGUUUAAUUCGAAGCAACGCGAAGAACCUUACCAGGUCUUGACAUCUUUUGAUCACCUGAGAGAUCAGGUUUCCCCUUCGGGGGCAAAAUGACAGGUGGUGCAUGGUUGUCGUCAGCUCGUGUCGUGAGAUGUUGGGUUAAGUCCCGCAACGAGCGCAACCCUUAUGACUAGUUGCCAGCAUUUAGUUGGGCACUCUAGUAAGACUGCCGGUGACAAACCGGAGGAAGGUGGGGAUGACGUCAAAUCAUCAUGCCCCUUAUGACCUGGGCUACACACGUGCUACAAUGGAUGGUACAACGAGUUGCGAGACCGCGAGGUCAAGCUAAUCUCUUAAAGCCAUUCUCAGUUCGGACUGUAGGCUGCAACUCGCCUACACGAGGUCGGAAUCGCUAGUAAUCGCGGAUCAGCACGCCGCGGUGAAUACGUUCCCGGGCCUUGUACACACCGCCCGUCACACCAUGAGAGUUUGUAACACCCGAAGCCGGUGGCGUAACCCUUUUAGGGAGCGAGCCGUCUAAGGUGGGACAAAUGAUUAGGGUGAAGUC